rnacentral:rRNA from 1 species
UCGACGGUGAUGAGGAGCUUGCUUCUCUGAUCAGUGGCGAACGGGUGAGUAACACGUGAGCAAUCUGCCCUUGACUCUGGGAUAACUGCGGGAAACUGUAGCUAAUACCGGAUACGACCUGAAGAGGCAUCUUUUUGGGUGGAAAGAAUUUUGGUCAAGGAUGAGCUCGCGGCCUAUCAGCUUGUUGGUGAGGUAAUGGCUCACCAAGGCGACGACGGGUAGCCGGCCUGAGAGGGUGACCGGCCACACUGGGACUGAGACACGGCCCAGACUCCUACGGGAGGCAGCAGUGGGGAAUAUUGCACAAUGGGCGCAGGCCUGAUGCAGCAACGCCGCGUGAGGGACGAAGGCCUUCGGGUUGUAAACCUCUUUUAGUAGGGAAGAAGCGACUGGGUUUUCCUGGGAGUGACGGUACCUGCAGAAAAAGCACCGGCUAACUACGUGCCAGCAGCCGCGGUAAUACGUAGGGUGCAAGCGUUGUCCGGAAUUAUUGGGCGUAAAGAGCUCGUAGGCGGUUUGUCGCGUCUGCUGUGAAAACCCGAGGCUCAACCUCGGGCCUGCAGUGGGUACGGGCAGACUAGAGUGCGGUAGGGGAGAUUGGAAUUCCUGGUGUAGCGGUGGAAUGCGCAGAUAUCAGGAGGAACACCAAUGGCGAAGGCAGAUCUCUGGGCCGUAACUGACGCUGAGGAGCGAAAGCAUGGGGAGCGAA